rnacentral:rRNA from 1 species
GAUGAACGCUGGCGGCGUGCCUAAUACAUGCAAGUCGAGCGAACGGACGAGACGCUUGCUUCUCUGAUGUUAGCGGCGGACGGGUGAGUACCACGUGGAUACCCUACCUAUAAGACUGGGAUCACUUCGGGAAACCGGAGCUAAUACCGGAUAAUAUUUUGAACCGCAUGGUUCAAAAGUGAACGACGGUCUUGCUGUCACUUAUAGAUGGAUCCGCGCUGCAUUAGCUAGUUGGUAAGGUAACGGCUUACCAAGGCAACGAUGCAUAGCCGACCUGAGAGGGUGAUCAGCCACACUGGAACUGAGACACGGUCCAGACUCCUACGGGAGGCAGCAGUAGGGAAUCUUCCGCAAUGGGCGAAAGCCUGACGCAGCAACGCCGCGUGAGUGAUGAAGGUCUUCGGAUCGUAAAACUCUGUUAUUAGGGAAGAACAUAUGUGUAAGUAACUGUGCACAUCUUGACGGUACCUAAACAGAAAGCCACGGCUAACUACGUG